AGUGAACGCUGGCGGUAGGCCUAACACAUGCAAGUCGAACGGCAGCACAGUAAGAGCUUGCUCUUACGGGUGGCGAGUGGCGGACGGGUGAGGAAUACAUCGGAAUCUACUUUUUCGUGGGGGAUAACGUAGGGAAACUUACGCUAAUACCGCAUACGACCUACGGGUGAAAGCAGGGGAUCUUCGGACCUUGCGCGAUUGAAUGAGCCGAUGUCGGAUUAGCUAGUUGGCGGGGUAAAGGCCCACCAAGGCGACGAUCCGUAGCUGGUCUGAGAGGAUGAUCAGCGACACUGGAAGUGAGACACGGUCCAGACUCCUACGAGAGGCAGCAGUGGGGAAUAUUGGACAAUGGGCGCAAGCAUGAUCCAGCCAUACCGCGUGGGUGAAGAAGGCCUUCGGGUUGUAAAGCCCUUUUGUUGGGAAAGAAAAGCAGCAGGUUAAUACCCCGCUGUUCUGGCGGUACCCAAAGAAUAAGCACCGGCUAACUUCGUG
rnacentral:rRNA from 1 species